UGGGGAAUAUUGCACAAUGGGCGAAAGCCUGAUGCAGCAACGCCGCGUGAGUGAUGAAGGUCUUCGGAUUGUAAAGCUCUGUCUUUUGGGACGAUAAUGACGGUACCAAAGGAGGAAGCCACGGCUAACUACGUGCCAGCAGCCGCGGUAAUACGUAGGUGGCGAGCGUUGUCCGGAUUUACUGGGCGUAAAGGGUGCGUAGGCGGAUGUUUAAGUGAGAUGUGAAAUACCCGGGCUUAACUUGGGUGCUGCAUUUCAAACUGGAUAUCUAGAGUGCAGGAGAGGAGAAUGGAAUUCCUAGUGUAGCGGUGAAAUGCGUAGAGAUUAGGAAGAACACCAGUGGCGAAGGCGAUUCUCUGGACUGUAACUGACGCUGAGGCACGAAAGCGUGGGUAGCAAACAGGAUUAGAUACCCUGGUAGUCCACGCCGUAAACGAUGAGUACUAGGUGUAGGAGGUAUCGACCCCUUCUGUGCCGCAGUAAACACAUUAAAGUACUCCGCCUGGGAAGUACGAUCGCAAGAUU
rnacentral:rRNA from 1 species